rnacentral:lncRNA from 1 species
UCACUCAAAUAAAUAAAAUCAUAAAUAAAUGUACCUCUUAAAACUAUAUAUUUUACAAGCUAAUACUUAUAACUAUUUACAAUAUACAUCUAUUUUAAACAAAGUGCAACAGUGUUCGUCGGCGCCGUUUUAGCGCUCCCAGAAUAAUAUCGCGUGCAACAUUUUAGCGCCCCGGCAACUAGUCCUUUUGUUUGUCACAUCUGGUGACACCUACAUAUAUCACAGCGGCGCUUAGCCGCGCGACCAUUUCCGAUCUUCAUUCGAUACAGAACGCACGGCACAUUAAUAUCGGUCUUUAUACAUGUAUCGUUUCGACAUGUAACCAAUUAAAUAUUUUGUCGUCUCUAAACGUUCGUCGAAGUGCUCAACGUUAAUAUUUUUAUAGUAACGCGAGUGUAAUAAACCCCAAAUUGGGGUCCAAGGUUCGGGCUGACAUUUGGUGUGUAGACCACACCUCAGCCACAUCACCACCAUCGCUACUCUCGCCAGGCAGAGCAGACCACCCUUGCCGAGCCCUCGGACAGCCCCUGAGUACCUACGGUCGGCUGCAUUUCCAGAGGAGCGUCCCCCCACCGACGGCACAAACCAGGCGAGAGUACCUAACCGCAGUGUAGACAGGAUUUUGUGUGAAUUUAUUAAAACUAGAACCUACGACCUAAAUUAGCUCAAAAUUUAAUAAUUAAAUUUCUCGUUUCCGAACUUCGUCUCCGUUUCCGUCAUUUAAAUAAAUUAAUAUUUUUUGCACGAA